GACUGGGGACUGCUCUAGUGGAUAAGGCAAACAAUGAAUGCAUCACAAUGACAAAACAGGUUUUUACCCUGAUUAAAAGAGCUAAGGUGCCUGGACUCUACUAUACUGUAGAAUUGCCAGACAGUAUCCAAUAUUCUUUUCUUGGGUAAGGUGGCAUGUGUGGUAGGCUUUGGUAUGCAGAUGCCAUGAUUGCAGAAAAGUAUAAUUUCUUUGCUACCAUAGCCUCCAUAUAAUAAGUGUUUCAAUGACAUCUUGCCCAUGUUCAGUUGGACAUGCUUCCAUCAAUGCUCUAAUCUCUGUCCUACUUGUUUCAUCAUCACUAGAUCCCUAGUAAACUCCAUUUUUGAGAGGGUACACUCAGGUACAAUCAUGACCAGCAUCUUUGCCAUUUCUCCAUUGAAGAUAUCAGCCAGGCCUUCAACAUGACUACCUGCCAAGAUAAGAGCAAAGUUUCCCAAAGCUAUUUUCUACAAGCAGUGGCAAACACAGAGUGUUAUGGUUGAGCCUUCUGGCUCCGGUACUAGGAGACGGGGUCGUAAGACUCCUCGAGAGUCAGACUCUUUUGAGGAGCGUGAAAGGAAACGGCUCCGGGACUUAUUUGCAAAACCAACAGAUGAAGAUUCAUUUGAGGGUUUUACCGAGGGAAUGGAGGAAGAGAUGGUUAGCUCAGAGGAGGAUGAUAUGGAGUGGACUCGUGUGAGGGAGGAUUUGGGGGUCACCGGCAAUGAUAACAUGGGAGGCGAUUGGCGGGUUGCAGGAUCAGACCCAUGGACGGGCUGGAGGGAUGGAGCGGGAUCCACAGCUGGGGAUGCUGUGGGGCGUAGUCAAAGGUGUUUUAGCUCUGAUGAGGAUGAUGAUGAUGAGGCACCUGGAAUUAGGAUAGCAGCUGACAGCGAUGAGGAGUUAUGAACUGGGAUAAAAUGGGGUUUAGGAUCAAUGGCUAAUUGCGUUGGGCAAGGUAAUCUGGACGAACGCUUGGGCUCUUGUUGGGGAACUUCCUGAAGACGGGUGUGAUUCGUUGCUGGAUACCUUGGACCUCCGUCGUCUUUUUGACGGACAUUAAUUACCUACUCUGGAUUGACGCUGGACUGACUGACUGACUACGACCUCGGACUAUCCUUUCUGUGGCUAUCGGUGGAACUUGUGGAACUUUAGACGUCUGCACUUGGCUUUCGACCUUGGACCGGAUUGGGACCCUGCUGACCGCUGUUACCCUGAUUGAUGUGCCUGGACCCGGAUUUCGCUCGUUGCACGGAGGAGUAAACAGCCUGAGUUACUCAUCUGUAGCUUUUGAGUAGCAGAGAGGAAUCUGCUGCCAGUUUUUUGUGUUCAUUUUGACCUCUGUUUACCAACUUUUGUUUGUUUAAAUUGCCAGGCUGAAGUAAGCACUUUUGAUUUAAUCCGGAUUAAACUCCUGUUUAAUCCGGUUUAUCCUUUCGAACCGUUUUAAUUCAAACGGAGCUGUUUCUGUUACUUUUCACACUGAAGACAAGUGUUUGCCUAGUCCUUUGCUUCCUACGGGCAUUUUUUAGUUCUGUAACUUCAAUAAACUGUGUUGUACUCUA